UCUCUGAUUCCAUGUCAGUUUUUUUUUCUACAACUUUAGCUAUGCUUCGGUGAUAUUAUCUAAUGUUGUGUGUUGAUCUUUAAGUGUAUUGAAUCAAGUGAGAUUGGAACCUUGGUUAGUGUAGAAGAUGCAACUUUUUGGUUAGGAUUGUGAUUGGGGAUUUUCAUCAAGUCGGUUAUUGUUGAGUUUGCUGGCUUAUAACAAGAAUUGAGUUUUUACAUUUCACAAUCUUAUGGUUGAUCAUAUCAUUUUUUAUGAAUGUUGGGAUUUUAAUCAUGUUUUUGGUUAUUGUUGAAUUCACGAUUUGAAUUGAUUGAGCCUGUUUUCUGGAAUUGUAUGGAAUUCUGGCUUGUAAUUAUUGAGUUUUGAUCUCUCCUUUCUAUGUAAAUUUUAUGGUUGCUCAUAGCCUCUCUUUUUUUUUUUUUUUUGUUAAUGUAGAAGCCAAUUCUGCUUCCUUAUAUGAUCAUUGUUUCUGGUACUUUUUUUUUAUUUGCAGUGGAAGAAGAAGCGUAUGAGGAGGCUUAAGAGGAAGAGACGAAAGAUGAGACAGCGAUCCAAGUAAUUUGGCUUUUGAAGACAUGCUACUUUGUUUCUUGCUUCUAUCCCUUUCUCUCUUGCAAACAUUGUUUUUACUAUAGCUUCCAUUUAUGUCUCAGACUUUUGUUUUAGAUUUUGAUCAAAACAUAAAGUUUCAGAUUUUACUUCAUCUUCUACCACUUCACUGCUAGAAUUUAGACAUUCUUUCGCUCCAUUUUGUUCCAAU
rnacentral:lncRNA from 1 species